GCCUCCGAGGCGCAAUCCGCUAGUGCGUUUGGGUGUUAACCGAAAGGUUGGUGGUUCGAGCCCACCCUGGGGCG